AUUGAACGCUGGCGGCAUGCCUUACACAUGCAAGUCGAACGGCAGCACGGGUGCUUGCACCUGGUGGCGCGUGGCGAACGGGUGAGUAAUACAUCGGAACAUGUCCUGUAGUGGGGGAUAGCCCGGCGAAAGCCGGAUUAAUACCGCAUACGAUCUACGGAUGACAGCGGGGGACCUUCGGGCCUCGCGCUCUGAGGUUGGCCGAUGGCUGAUUAGCUAGUUGGUGGGGUAAAGGCCUACCAAGGCGACGAUCAGUAGCUGGUCUGAGAGGACGACCAGCCACACUGGGACUGAGACACGGCCCAGACUCCUACGGGAGGCAGCAGUGGGGAAUUUUGGACAAUGGGCGAAAGCCUGAUCCAGCAAUGCCGCGUGUGUGAAGAAGGCCUUCGGGUUGUAAAGCACUUUUGUCCGGAAAGAAAUCCUGGGCCCUAAUACGGUCGGGGGAUGACGGUACCGGAAGAAUAAGCACCGGCUAACUACGUG
rnacentral:rRNA from 1 species